rnacentral:rRNA from 1 species
UACGGAGGGAGCUAGCGUUGUUCGGAAUUACUGGGCGUAAAGCGCACGUAGGCGGCUUUGUAAGUUAGAGGUGAAAGCCCGGGGCUCAACUCCGGAACUGCCUUUAAGACUGCAUCGCUUGAAUCCAGGAGAGGUGAGUGGAAUUCCGAGUGUAGAGGUGAAAUUCGUAGAUAUUCGGAAGAACACCAGUGGCGAAGGCGGCCAUCUGGACGGCUAUUGACGCUGAGACGCGAAAGCGUGGGGAGCAAACAGG